GGAAGUAAAAGUCAUAACAAGGUUUCCGUAGGUGAACCUGCGGAAGGAUCAUUAAUGAGUUGUCAUGGGGUUCGAUGCUGGCAGCCAAUUUUUGGAUGCAUGUGCUUGCCCUAACAAUCAUCUUCCAAACACCUGUGCACAUUUUUUAGGGAGUCUUGAGUUGGUUGCCGCUCUUGGGUGAUUUUCUCACAUUCCCUUAAAUCAUUAUACGCUAUUAACAAUGUUGAACGUGCUCUGUGCCGCAAGGCUAUUAAUAUAAUACGACUUUUAACAACGGAUCUCUUGGCUCUC
rnacentral:misc_RNA from 1 species